UUAAAAAAAAUAUGAAUGUGUAAUUACACAACGCUACAUUUAUAUGGUAUUUCCAGAUCGCUAUUUCAAAAUUAUGCUUUCAAUUUUGUGUUAAGCGAUCCGAUGGCUUACCAGAUGUGUUACCAGAACCAGUAGCAUACUUGUGCCAAAAUGAAGUUGUUUUGCUAACGAACUAAAAUACAUGCUGGUAUUUAUGGUUACAGAUCAACGCUGAGACCGAGGUUUGAUCUGAGCACGUUGAGAAGCAAUGCUUUGUUAAGGUCACCCGUGGUAUGACAACGCUAAUAAAGGAUGCUGUGCCUGCCAACUUUGUUCGCCUGGACUUCAGAGAAGCCAAAGAGGAGAAUCAUCAUUCGCAUACCGUGUAUGGAUUCCAUGGAGUAUUCCAUCGAGUAUUUCUUCUGUUUCAAUCGUCUUGGUGAAGUUUUUGAGCUGGAUCUGGAUUCUGCUGAGGAUUCGUCGACUACUAGAUGGCGAGCCACCCACUCAUUCGAAUGUGAUCCUGUUCUACAUUGCGCAUGGCAUAUUUGGUAGGAUUGUGGCCUGCUCGUGUCACAUCACUGACUAUGACUGACUUAAACGCCUUGAACUGAACUGCUUGAAAGGAGCUAUUUUUCUUUUUGAACAACUUAAAGGAACUCUCUACAUCGUCUCUUUUGAGGAUUUAAAGGACUAUUUCCAAUUUUUGAAGGACAAUUCAAUUUUUUUUUUUUUUAAAUGUUCAAACCUUUUUUGGGGGGGUGGGGAAUUGUAAAUAUUUAAACUUUUCAAUCUCUUACUUGUGAUGUUUUUAUUUCAUUUUGUUAAUGCCCAUUUUAUUAUUUUUCCCUAUAUCCUAUGUUUGUAUAUAAGAAUGUCAUUCUUCAUUAGGGUUGCAUACAAUAUUUUCUAUGGAUACAUGAUUAUUUAUAAUGAUAAAUAAAUAAUAAUAAUUAUUAUUAUUUAUGCAAGAUGGACAUUUGACACUAACAUUAUGGUUUUCCCCGUUCAUUUUGCUUUCGAUAUCCUUUCCUUUUUGUUUUGGACUGUUUCAAUUCACGGGACGUCACUUUAAUCCUCCAAAGGACAUUUUUGGAGUGAAGCGGCCAACUCUCUUGAAUUACUGCUCUUGUCGGCUUGCGCUCGCCUCUGUGGAUCUAAUAAGGACAUAAAAGGACAGAAACUUAA